AUUGAACGCUGGCGGCAUGCUUUACACAUGCAAGUCGAACGGUAACAGGUUAAGCUGACGAGUGGCGAACGGGUGAGUAAUGUAUCGGAACGUGCCCGGUCGUGGGGGAUAACGUAGCGAAAGCUACGCUAAUACCGCAUACGAUCUACGGAUGAACGCGGGGGAUCGCAAGACUUCGCGCGAUUGGAGCGGACGAUAUCAGAUUAGGUUGUUGGUGAGGUAAAAGCUCACCAAGCCUGCGAUCUGUAGCUGGUCUGAGAGGACGACCAGCCACACUGGAACUGAGACACGGUCCAGACUCCUACGGGAGGCAGCAGUGGGGAAUUUUGGACAAUGGACCCAAGUCUGAUCCAGCAAUGCCGCGUGCAGGACGAAGGCCUUCGGGUUGUAAACUGCUUUUGUACGGAACGAAACGGUGAGCUCUAAUACAGUUUGCUAAUGACGGUACCGUAAGAAUAAGCACCGGCUAACUACGUGCCAGCAGCCGCCGUAA
rnacentral:rRNA from 1 species